rnacentral:lncRNA from 1 species
GCGGGAUUUCUAGUUCGGCCUCAAUCACGUCACACAUGGGAGGUGGUUGGUUCUUAGGCCUUCUCAUUGUACCUUGUUAGGCACCAAGAUGUUUAAAUGGCAGCCACUAAGCCAUAUAGGCUGCUCUAUGUGACAUACUAGCUUCUCGUGCUUGGUUUAUCAUAAUUUUAGCCAAUCAACACACAAUUCGAAUCCCCUCGUAAAGCUUGACUUUAUGGUUGGAAAACUACUAGUAAUGACAAGUAGUUGGAAAUAGAUCGAAAACACCAUUAUCCACACACAUUCCCGACUUGCUUUAAAAUGGAACAUGAAGGAUAGAGUCUCAGAGCGAUGUAGAAUCAAUAGAGUUUGAUGAAACGUGUCGGACAUACGAGACAAAAAAAUUAAUUUUUUUUAUGAAAUUUUUUUAAUUACUUUUUGUUUCAAGAAGAGAAUCGGUAAAGAGUUUUACACAUCUUGAUUAGGUCAUUAUGAUCCAUAUCCAUCCCAAAUCCACUAU